CCCUUUCCCUGGCCCUCCAGCUCUUUCAGAGCAUCUUCUCCGAAGAAAGCUGUUGGAGGGCAGAGUUUUGCUGGCAUCCCUGGGGCCUGGUGAGGAGCUGGUCUGAAGAAACGUUUCUGUGAGCAGACAGCAUCUCUCCAUCUGUCCUGGGGAGAACCUUCCUGACCGCGCCUCAGGGCACCCACUUUCCUACUGGACUUCCCCUGCCAUGCACCCCUCUUCCAGCGUCUCCAUCAGCCCUCAGGAGACCGAGACCCCGCCCCGGGGUCACCAGAGCCGCUCUGCCUCCUCCUCAUUUCACAGGGGGUCCUAGAAGGCUUUGUUGGAGGAAAGGGAAAUCUAAAGCCACUCGAGCUUUCUGGAGACGUGGGAACCCGCAUCCCAGCCCCGUGGACUGUGGUCCUGGAACCUGCGCCCUGCGGACCCCAGUCUGGGGACCCACGUCCUGGCCCCGGGGACCGCGGUCUGGGCCCUGCUGACCUCUGGCCUCCUCUGGUCCAACACGUCAGGGACAGUUGCUCAUCUGGCGGCCGUGAGGCCAACGUUGAUUAUUUCAUCAUUAACCUUCUCACGGGCUUAGACAUUAUGCUUCCACUGUGGUUCCCGUCAGUCUUUUGGAUCAAGUCCCACGUGAUUCCGGGUUUCUCUGGAUGUUUUCUAGGUCUCACCGGGGAUCUGGUGUGACUAGGCCAGAGUGUUGUUAGCAAAAAUCUUAGGCUCUGAAAAUGUGUUUUAAAUUUAUGUGCAGAGCCUAACUCUGGUCUUAAUUUCUCUUAAAAAAAAUCUUUUCUUCAGUCUGAGCAUCUACCUUUUCAACUGCUAUUUACGACUAAAAACAAAACCCGAUCGAUCCGGUCUCCAAGUCCAUAUCAGUUUACCUGAUAAAGAAGCAGAGGUCUGCAGGCCUUGACGUGUCCAUGUGAUCAAAGUUUCCAACUUCACAGUCCGUCCCUCAGCCCAGAGCAGAGCCCAGGAGCCCUGAGGUCAGGGUCAGGGGCUGAGCUGACUUCCCAUUCCCCCAGGAAAGAAACCCUGCGUGAUAAGAUUUGUGGGAAACACUGAAAUCACGGAACUCACGGCCCGCAGUGCUGCUUCUGAGCUGAGACCACGCCUACGGUUUGGAAACCGAGACUCUCUUGCCUAAGCUCAGGUGCGAUGAAAACAGCAAAUUGAAAAUUGUUUCUCUGCCAAAUGUUUAUGUGAUGGUUUUCCUCAUCAUUGUAAAGUGACAAGCACACACCCGAACUGGACACGUGUCACACAGGAGGGCUGUUGAUUUAGAUCCUGAAUUAGAGCGGGUGUUGGGGAAUCAACUAAAUAAAACUCCAGAGUCACCAGCUGGACGCUGAAAGGCUGAUAAGAUCUGUGUCUGAGAGGAUCUGGCACAUCUUAAGGCCUCCGCUUGGAUCCCCUCCUGAUGAAAGCGCAGCUGCCCUGUCUGUGGAGCUGGCCUCCCGCGGCUGCUGCGGUGCUGUUACUGGUUUACGCUCCUGUUGCAGUUUGUUCCUCUCCUGCUGGAAGCUCGGCUUCACGGGAGGCAGGCCCUGCCCUGUGGCUCAGAACCUCUCAGGACCGCGAUGGGCGCGCGGUCCCAGCUCAGGAAAUGUGCUCUGACUCAGCGACUGCACGGGGGACCACGUGUUGAGUCCACGUGUCCGCGCGUCAGUGAUGAGAUGACCGCCACUGUGUCAAAGCACGGGCAAGCAGAGGGAGCUGGGGUGGGUGCCCUCCCGGGAAGGGAGGCGCCCUCAUCCGGCGCCGGCCUGGGAAGCCGAGACCCGGGGCGGGGCUGCGGCCUGCC
ensembl:lncRNA